UCCCACAUUGUCUAGUGGUUAGGAUAGCUGACUCUCACCGAGGAGGCCGGGGUUCAAUUCCCGGUAUGGGAA
rnacentral:tRNA from 1 species